UUCAACUAGAAGAGCCAGACUCUCUGAACCAGAGGAGAUAAAAGUCCUGUGCUUGGAGCUGCUGAGGUGCAAAAUGAGACCCAGAACAAGUAUACUUUGAUGGGGACCAGAGCAAAGAACCGGAGCACAGAGCAUUACCUAGAAGAGCAGAACUGAGCACAGCAUUAUUACCGUGGAGCAUCCUGGCUAAGACUUUCCUUGCAGAGAUCAUAUUGGGAAGACUGAGGAGGAAUUCUAAAGAUGG
rnacentral:lncRNA from 1 species